rnacentral:rRNA from 1 species
GAGUUUGAUCUUGGCUCAGAUUGAACGCUGGCGGCAGGCCUAACACAUGCAAGUCGAGCGGAUGACGGGAGCUUGCUCCUUGAUUCAGCGGCGGACGGGUGAGUAAUGCCUAGGAAUCUGCCUGGUAGUGGGGGACAACGUUUCGAAAGGAACGCUAAUACCGCAUACGUCCUACGGGAGAAAGCAGGGGACCUUCGGGCCUUGCGCUAUCAGAUGAGCCUAGGUCGGAUUAGCUAGUUGGUGGGGUAAUGGCUCACCAAGGCGACGACCCGUAACUGGUCUGAGAGGAUGAUCAGUCACACUGGAACUGAGACACGGUCCAGACUCCUACGGGAGGCAGCAGUGGGGAAUUUUGGACAAUGGGGGCAACCUGAUCCAGCCAUGCCGCGUGAGUGAAGAAGGCCUCGG